AACGAACGCUGGCGGCAGGCUUAACACAUGCAAGUCGAACGCACCUUUCGGGGUGAGUGGCAGACGGGUGAGUAACGCGUGGGAAUCUACCCUUCUCUACGGGAUAGCUCCGGGAAACUGGAAUUAAUACCGUAUACGUCCUGAGGGAGAAAGAUUUAUCGGGGAAGGAUGAGCCCGCGUUGGAUUAGCUAGUUGGUGGGGUAAAGGCCUACCAAGGCGACGAUCCAUAGCUGGUCUAAGAGGAUGAUCAGCCACAUUGGGACUGAGACACGGCCCAAACUCCUACGGGAGGCAGAAGUGGGGAAUAUUGGACAAUGGGCGCAAGCCUGAUCCAGCCAUGCCGCGUGAGUGAUGAAGGCCCUAGGGUUGUAAAGCUCUUUCAGUGGGGACGAUAAUGACGGUACCCACAGAAGAAGCCCCGGCUAACUUCGUG
rnacentral:rRNA from 1 species